AAGCAUUCUGAUAAAUAAUUAGCCAAUUAAUUGACAUUACAAAAUAAAUAAAGAAAAAAAUCAUUGGAAAGAUCACUGCUUAAAUGAAAUUUGAAAUAUCUCCCAAUAGUUUUGAUCGGUUGCCCGAGUUGUGAGAGUGAUCGGUUGAUAUUGCGUGCUUCCUUCAAGCGCUCCCCAGCUGCACCUGUUAGCUUCUGCCUCCGGAACCAGAACUAUCUGCACUUCGAUUUACAAAUUCAUUGGCUUUUUCCGACAGUGCCCACAACUGUUAGUUGUUACAGGUAAAAAAAGCAGUAUGUGAUAGCGAACUCUCAGGAACGGUCGGGUUAGAAGAGGGAGGCCUAGGUGGAAGCGGGCUCUUCAGGAUUUGGAAUCGAAAACCGAUCUGACGGUGGAGAAUUUUCUUUGGAAGACUUGGGUUUCCGAGGGGGUCUGCGGCCCUUGAUUUCGGCACCGUUAAGGCUAGAAGAAGAAGAAAGUGGUGGAUCGACGAGAUGGGUAUCUCGCAAGACAGAGUUUCUUGGCUGCUUCACGUUAGAGAGGAAGAGCGAAAUUUUGGAGGUAUAGGAAGAGCGAAACGGAAUUUGAGAGAUAGGAAAUCGCAGGGUUUGAGGAAGACGAAGAAGAGAAGGGGAGAUGAGAGGCAGAGUAAACCGAUCGAGAAGAAAAAGGGGAAAGAAAUUUGAAAUAAAAGAGAACGUUGAGGUUGAAGAAGAGGGGAAAGAAAAUUGACCGUUGAGGUUAUUUAAUUUUUGGAUUAAAUAUUUUCUAUGAAAAUUAAAAAAGAAAAAGUUAAAAGGCAAA